AUAUAGUAUACGCGUGAAGGAUGGAAGCGGCAUCCUUUUAUUUGCUGACUGAGGUGUCACACUGAGCUUGUCGAAGUGCUCUCGAAGGUAGCAAAUAAAAGAUACAGCGGAAAGCCCGACCCGAA
rnacentral:sRNA from 1 species